rnacentral:rRNA from 1 species
GACGAACGCUGGCGGCGUGCUUAACACAUGCAAGUCGAACGGAAAGGCCUUUUCGGAGGUACUCGAGUGGCGCACGGGUGAGUAACACGUGGGUGAUCUGCCCUGCACUCUGGGAUAAGCCUGGGAAACUGGGUCUAAUACCGGAUAGGACCGCACUUUAGUGUGUGUGGUGGAAAGUUUUUUCGGUGUAGGAUGAGCCCGCGGCCUAUCAGCUUGUUGGUGGGGUAAUGGCCUACCAAGGCGGCGACGGGUAGCCGGACUGAGAGGCUGGUCGGCCACAUUGGGACUGAGAUACGGCCCAGACUCCUACGGGAGGCAGCAGUGGGGAAUAUUGCACAAUGGGCGCAAGCCUGAUGCAGCGACGCCGCGUGGGGGAUGACGGCCUUCGGGUUGUAAACUCCUUUCGCCAGGGACGAAGCGUUUUGUGACGGUACCUGGAGAAGAAGCACCGGCUAACUACGUG